rnacentral:rRNA from 1 species
UACGGAGGGAGCUAGCGUUGUUCGGAAUUACUGGGCGUAAAGCGUGCGCAGGCGGUUGUGUAAGACAGAUGUGAAAUCCCCGGGCUCAACCUGGGAACUGCAUUUGUGACUGCACGGCUCGAGUGCGGCAGAGGGGGAUGGAAUUCCGCGUGUAGCAGUGAAAUGCGUAGAUAUGCGGAGGAACACCGAUGGCGAAGGCAAUCCCCUGGGCCUGCACUGACGCUCAUGCACGAAAGCGUGGGGAGCAAACAGG